CCAUCGGUGGUUCAGUGGUAGAAUGCUCGCCUGCCACGGCCCGGGUUCGAUUCCCGGCCGAUGCA